GAAAAGAGCAAAUCAUGUGAGGGUAUAGCAUCUUCCUCUCUCUUUCUCUCUCUCUCUCUCUCUCUCUCUCUCUCUCUCUCUCUUUCUCUCUCUCUCUCUCUCUCUCUCACUAUCUCUCUCCUUCUCUCAUUAACUCUCCUGUUGUGUGUGUGUAUGUUUGUGUGUAUAAAAGCCUCUCUCUCCAUGCUUUCACUUCACUCCUGUGGCUCUCCAUUGCAUUUCAGGGAAGAGCGAGACUGAAGAGACAAGAGGGGAGGGGGGGACACGACCAGAGGAAACCCCUGUGUUACAGUGGGAGACAUUUGUUUGACCUUCCCCCUUUUUGCCUCCCUCUCUUUUUCUCCCCAUGGGUUUUGGGUCUUCCUCUUUCUCUCCUUCUCCUUCUUCCUCUUCUUCUUAAACAUCUCCACUCUGCUUGGACGGUGGCUGCAUCGAUGCAAAAUGGGUUGUGGCAAUUCCUCAGCCACCAACACCUCUGGAGGGGGGCCAGCAGAAGCUGCAAAAGAUGUAAGAUCCCUUGGGAGACGAUGAGAAAAGAAGGAACUAUGGUGGCGUGUAUGUAGGUCUACCUGCAGACCUAACCACUGUGGCUGCCAGUCAGUCCAAGUCCACACAUAAAGAUUAGCAGCUACUGACCGGAAUGCAACACAGGAUCCUGCAGUUUUAUUCACCCAGAGACACUCACAUUACUGACUACAGCCUCAGGCUGUAACACUCUUUGAGCUAGGAUGAUGUGGACGGCUUGCCUUGGCUCUGAGGACACUCCUUCAUGGAGUCGUGGGUGGCACGAUGGCGCAGGGAUGCGGCGCAGAGGUCUCGAGACAGCAUCCAUCAUCACUCUUAACUUUGCAAAAAAACUAAGAUGGGCAUCAGAGCGGACAAGCAGCUACCCGGGGACUGGCAGCCGUGGGUUUUGUGACAGCCAUCUUGGCUUCUCAGUCACAGCGCUGGAACGUAUCAGGAGGAGACACUUCUGCACAUUCCCAGCAGCCCCCUGCAAUAAUAAUCACUGCUCAGUUGUGUCUCUGAGACGUCAUCAAUGAUUCAUUGUGUGGCUGAGACAGAAAGUUAGAGAGGCAGAGAGAAAUCCACAGAAAGCAGCGUUUAUGUUUUUUCUACUGUUGUUCCUAAAUGUCCUCAAAUAUCCCAAUGUGUCUCCCAGCUUGUACCUGGUGUCGCCCCUUAGCUUGUGCCCCGGAGUUGUUAUGUAAUGUCAUCAUAUGACUCAUGAUACUUAGAUGAUCUCUCUUUCUCUCUCUCUCUCUCUCUCUCUCUCUCUCUCUCUCUCUGCAGCCUGUGUUUUUUUCUCUGGAGGAGCUCUGUUUCUAAGUCUUCUGGGUAAAUCACACAGCUCAUCUAAUCUUUCUCAGAAGGAGUUUGUUUGUAUCCCUCAACACUUAUGUGAGAUUCAGUGAAAUAGAAAAAUAUAUAUAUAUAUUCAGUUGCCAAAAAGGUGAACAUAGGAAACAUUCUAAGAAUAAUAGAGGAGGUGGUUUCUGUUUGUUGUUAUGGUUGAUUGUAAUUACAGAUUGUUAUAGUCUGUUUUAUACAUUAUGUAUCAAACUUUAUUGUGAAUGUUGCUCUUUUCCAUGUAAUACAUCACAGAUAAAGCCAGGGCUAUUUUGUAUUACUUUAUUGUCAACAAAUCCCAUGAAAGACUAAGACCGACCGUGUUUUAGUGUGACACCAAACCCUAAUCAGGUCCUAAAUGUUUUGAUGUUAUCGAAGCUUUCAGCCAUAUCAUGUGAGCGCCUCUGGCUGAUAGAGUUGAUGGGAUAAAAUGAUAUAAUGUGGGUACAUAAGAGGAUGCAGUUUUGUUGUGAUCACUGAUUUCUAUUUGAUUCAAAUUCUACUUAAAGUCAGGGCAGUACCCUAAAGCUUGACUGUUUUAUUUUGAUCUUUUUAACCUUAAUUUAGUAGUUAUGUCUCAAAAAGAGCAACAGAGGACAUUCCUUUUUUUUUCUGUUCGGUCCCAAGUCUGUUUGUUCCUACGGAAAAUGCUAACUCUUCUGGGAAAAAAGUCAUGGCUAUACCUUCAUUAUAAUUUCCUCAAGUAAGUUUUCAUCAAAUGUUCCUUACACAGGAGUGAACAACAUUUCUUUGGACUGUUUACAGCUGUGGAUUCAGACACAUUUAGUGCUCCACUGUGUAUUUACCAGUGUUGUAGUUGAGUUUCUGGAUCUCCAGUCUGAGUUAAGUCUCAAGUCCCCAGGGUUCACGUUGAACGCACCAGAGAAGAAUCUGAGUCCUUGGAGGAUUUAUAAAGAGGACUAUUGUUUCACUCCACGCUAUGACCAAUAUGAACAUCAAUUUACUGUUGGGACCAGUUCAUGUAUCUUAAUUAUUUACUUGUUUAUCUGACAGGGACUAAUGCAUGAAACAUUGCCAUGCAUACAGGUGUCUAGCCAUGGCUUAUUUGCAACCCCUGUCACUGGUUAGGCUUCCAAAAUUAAAAGAGAAAUAAAAGAGUAUUGAUUUUAAGAUAAUGCAACCAUUAAAAUAAAUACAAUGGGAUUAGUGUAUGCAAUACAAAACUAAAAAAAAUAACAAAAGUCUAUGUCUUGUAAAACUUUUGUAUUUAUAUUUAGGGCUUUCCAAUGUACAUUAAAAAAAGUGUUAACAUUAAUUUUUAAAAGUUAUCCUCAUUGAACCAUGAUCUGUGAGAAUUAAAGGACACCAAUGGACUGAAUCUUGAUUUAAAUGGUCAGUAAUGGAGUUAGUAAUGAGAUAUAAAAAUGUGUAUUGGGAUUUUUUGGGGCUCUGACACUUUUGGAUAAUUGAAUAUGCCCCGGGUCAAAUUGACCCAGGAACAUUAUGGCUGUUCCAGAGAAAUGAACAUAACAGGAGGGUUAAUGGGAUGACACUGACAUCAGUGAUUCUGCUGUGGUUGGAUCACUGCAGGUGUCAACUAAGUACUACAACACUGCUACUUACAGCAUCAUAGAGUCAUAUUCAGGUCCACUGAAUAUUAACUCUUGACUGAGCUUUUCUCGCCUUACUUUUGACACCAGGUUCUUCCUUUUGUUAACUUCAUAGAUGUAACGUGGCUUUGUGAAGUGCCAUUGUUACAAAUUGUGGUCUAGCCAAUAAAACAAACUGCAGUUGCUCAUGUA